GGGGCCGUAGUGUAGCUUGGCCAGGAGAAAAUCACAGAUUUUCUGUGAUUGCUCCUGAAGCAACUAUCACUCAAGGCUGGGGGUCUUGAAACCGGGGUUCGAAAGCAUAUUGCUCGAAAGUCCUCGCGGCCCCA
rnacentral:tRNA from 1 species